GACGUAGGGGGCCAGCGUUGCUCGGAAUUACUGGGCGUAAAGGGUUCGUAGGCGGUGCGGUAAGUCGGAAGUGAAAUCUCUGGGCUUAACUCAGAGGCUGCUUUCGAAACUGCCGUGCUGGAGUGCGGGAGAGGCGAGUGGAAUUGCAGGUGUAGCGGUGAAAUGCGUAGAUAUCUGCAGGAACACCCGUGGCGAAAGCGGCGAGCUGGACCACUACUGACGCUGAAGAACGAAAGCUAGGGGAGCAAACAGG
rnacentral:rRNA from 1 species